rnacentral:rRNA from 1 species
UACGUAGGGUGCAAGCGUUAAUCGGAAUUACUGGGCGUAAAGCGUGCGCAGGCGGUCUUGCAAGACAGAUGUGAAAUCCCCGGGCUUAACCUGGGAACUGCAUUUGUGACUGCAAGGCUGGAGUGCGGCAGAGGGGGAUGGAAUUCCGCGUGUAGCAGUGAAAUGCGUAGAUAUUGGGAAGAACACCUGAGGCGAAGGCGGGUUGCUGGGCCGACACUGACGCUGAGGCGCGAAAGCCAGGGGAGCAAACGGG